UACGUAGGGUGCGAGCGUUAAUCGGAAUUACUGGGCGUAAAGCGUGCGCAGGCGGUUUUUUAAGACAGGCGUGAAAUCCCCGGGCUCAACCUGGGAACUGCGCUUGUGACUGGAAGACUAGAGUAUGGCAGAGGGGGGUGGAAUUCCACGUGUAGCAGUGAAAUGCGUAGAGAUGUGGAGGAACACCGAUGGCGAAGGCAGCCCCCUGGGCCAAUACUGACGCUCAUGCACGAAAGCGUGGGGAGCAAACAGGAUUAGAUACCCUGGUAGUCCACGCCCUAAACGAUGUCAACUAGUUGUUGGGAGGGUAAAACCUUUUAGUAACGUAGCUAACGCGUGAAGUUGACCGCCUGGGGAGUACGGCCGCAAGGUUAAA
rnacentral:rRNA from 1 species